rnacentral:rRNA from 1 species
CUCCGGUUGAUCCCGCCGGACCUGACUGCUAUCGGAUUGGUACUAAGCCAUGCGAGUCAUUGUAGCAAUACAAGGCGGACGGCUCAGUAACACGUAGUCAACCUAACUCGUGGACGUGGAUAACCUCGGGAAACUGAGAAUAAACCACGAUAGAUCAUAGUGCCUGGAAUGGCUUAUGGUCCAAACAGUUUACUGCCAUGGGAUGGGACUGCGGCCUAUCAGCUUGUUGGUGAGGUAAUGGCCCACCAAGGCGAUUACAGGUACGGGCUCUGAGAGGAGAAGCCCGGAGAUGGGUACUGAGACACGGACCCAGGCCCUAUGGGGCGCAGCAGGCGAGAAACCUUAGCAAUGUGCGAAAGCACGACUGGGUCAGUCCGAGUGAUUCCUGAUAAAGGAGUCUUUUGCUUGUCCUAAAAGCACAGGUGAAUAAGGGGUGGGCAAGUCUGGUGUCAGCCGCCGCGGUAAUACCAGCACCUCGAGUGGUCAGGACGUUUAUUGGGCCUAAAGCAUCCGUAGCCGGCUUUGCAAGUCUUCGGUUAAAUCCACCUGCUCAACAGAUGGGCUGCUGGAGAUACUACAAAGCUAGGGAGUGGGAGAGGCAGACGGUAUUCAGUGGGUAGGGGUAAAAUCCUCUGAUCCAUUGAGGACCACCAGUGGCGAAGGCGGUCUGCCAGAACACGUUCGACGGUGAGGGAUGAAAGCUGGGGGAGCAAACCGGAUUAGAUACCCGGGUAGUCCCAGCUGUAAACGAUGCAAACUCGGUGAUGCAUUGGCUUAUGGCCAAUGCAGUGCCGCAGGGAAGCCGUUAAGUUUGCCGCCUGGGAAGUACGGACGCAAGUCUGAAACUUAAAGGAUUUGGCGGGGGAGCA